CUCACAACAUCUUUUUUUAUUUCGCUUUGGGACACUGAGUGGAGCUGCCACCAGAAACAGCUUUCAAAGCAUUCGAAAAAAACAUUUUUUAUUGCAUUCGAUUAGUAAAAAAGUGAGGUUAAAAAUUUGACAACUUGCGCUCUAAAGUAGCUACCGCGCAAGCUACAGAAAUACUUAAUAACAGAAUAUGACAUAAAAUUCGACAAAUACAAAAAGGUGGUCACAAUUUAUAUGUAUUUGAUAACAUUAAACCAGUUACACCCAAAAUGCACUAAUUAAUUAAAAAACAGUCAUUAAAUUGAUACUUUUCGAUCGUAAGAACGCUCGUCAAAAAUCCCGGUCUGUGCGUAAUAUAAUAUCUAAUAAUGUUUGCGUAUGAAAAUUUCAAGUUUUCUAAUUUUUAUGAAUAAUAAGAUCUUAUGAAACUAUUUAGACAAGUGAGCUUGAAGCAUUACAUCAUCUUACACUAAUUGUGGUUGACUUUUUUUUUAAAAAUCAGGCAGAACUUCUCCAUAGUUUGACACUUUGACAGUUGACAAAUAAUAUGAAAUCCAGUGGACCAUGGUUAAGAAGUUGAGAUCAAACAUAACCCUUACAGACUACAAACUUUUUGUGCAUAGAGGUAUUAAAGCCGACUUAUUAUACAAUUUAGGAUUAAGAUGGAAGAGGAAAUUACGGAUGAAGAAAUGGACGAAAUGUUGGAGGCACCACUACAAAGUAAAAUAACGACGUUACAGCCUUGCGUAAAAAGAAGCUUGAAUAUUUAUUAUUUUCGCGAAAUCAAAACACUGGUUGAUAAUUUGCCCCCAAAUAAAAAAGUAAAACUUGUGGGAAUGUAUAAAUACUGUGGAGGAAGCCAUUAUUUAACUUUUAAAGAUAAUUGUAAAGUAUUGUUAGACAUGUCAUGUGUUAAAACAUACCCGAUUUUUGAUACUUUUAUUGAAAUUCUUGGUAUUGUAAAAGUGCAAGAACCUAUGAUGGUCUUGGUCCAUUUUUUCGGACAGUUCCAAUACAACAUUCACGAAGUUGAACAAUAUUUGAAUAUUUUAAGAAAACUUGUGUCAAAAUAUUCUUUACAAUAAAUAUUUCUUUUUGUUUUUCA